AGUUGAAGGAAAAAAUCAGAAAAACUGUUUAUAUUCUACUGCCGGAUAUCAGAGACGAGAGUGCAUGUUGAAUUUUCGUAGUUUUAUUUCAUUACAUUAUACCGAUUGACACACAACCACACGUCAUGAAAGUGCACUUGAAGCUGAUCGCAGAUCAAUUCGUGCGCAGCUGUGUUCAAUUUGAAUAUACAUACUCAUUUCCAGUCAAACCGCGAAUAAAGAAGAUGAUGAGGUAAAAAAGAAGCCGGAUCUGGGAGAAAGAAAAAAUUGGAAUGGACAGAAGGACCUUGGACCAUGAUCUUGCAAGUAUAUGACUGAUGAUCAGGUGGAAAAAGGUCGGACGAGUUUGGUAUCUUAUACAUAUGCAUAUUACAAGGUGAUGAAAUUUGACUUUAGUCGAUUCACGAUCGCGAUCUCGCUGAGACUUAAGAGAAAAGGAAGCGGAUAAAUAUUUUAGAAAAUUAUAAACGUGGUGACAGCAAAAUAUAUCGUUCACGAACGAAGAAGAUUCAUUUAGUUUCGAGGAAAACAAAAUAAGUCUUGCUCGUAAUUUUUCUAAUCAUUUAUUUUUAUUGUUAUUAUUACUAUUUUCAGAAAAUUUGAAAGAGAAGCCAUUUAGUUGCGGUUCGAGAAAUUGUAAAAAAGUUUCUUUUCUUUGUGUUUUUCGAAACAAACGUUUUCAUUAGGACUUUUGGAAAAUAAGAUUUCAAUAAACAUUACCGAUUUCGACUUUGUUAUAGUAAGAUUAUAUAAUAUUAUUUGUGACGUGGAACGUAUACAAACUCAAAUGAAAAUGAUCAUAAAAUAUUAUAAUGAUGACGAUAAAGUCUUACGCAGGUAAGGCUAUUUGCGAAUCGAUUAGCAGAAAUAUUUAAUAUGUAAAUCGUCUACGUAUGGCUGCUUAUGCUAUUAAAUGGUACUCGUAUUAUACAUACAUACAUAGAUUACUUACGUCAUUGGAGUUCUAUUAACUAUUGAUCAUCUGACGCAAAAUACUGAAUUGAUAAAUUCGCGGUAAAAAAGCUAUGUAAUGAAGGUGAAAAAUAAUAAUGAUCAAACUGCAGGUGACGGUGAAAAAGUGAUGACACAGAUGAAAAACUACACACGACAAGAAAAAACAAUUAGCAACCACAAUUUAUCUGAUUGCAAAAAAUGUUGAACCAAACAGUUUUCACAGAGCAUAGUUUAAAUUGAUUAUCGUUAUUCCUUACGUACAUGCGAGUUGUAAUGUAAUAAUUAUGCAAACGACGAUGUAAGAAACAGCGAUGACAAGAAAGAUUGGACAAAGUGAAUAUAAAAAUAGGACCAAAGAUCAAGAUGCCCUAGCCAUUAACAAGUUAGUGCAGACAGCUCACCUUUCAAAUAAAUUAUAUAGGAUCGUAUGACCGUGACCAUCACUCGUGACUCGCGACCCAUCGAUGGUGAUCGUCGUUAAUCGGUGUCUUCGUCGGGAUAUCUGCAUCAGCCCAAAGGCAAAUGAAAAUGCUAUUAUUGGACGAGGAAGAUUCUGCAACACUCGUGGAUGCCGAUAUUAUUUUUUUCUCAGGCGACAUUUUGUGCUUGUUUUGGGUAUGCCAGAUCUGGGAAACACAAAAAUGGCCCAAACGCGACGAAUUGAAAUCCCGUUCGCUAGUACCAGCAACCCAAAGUCGCGAGGUGGAUGCAGCUGGGACGCAACGGCCAUGACCUUGCAGACGACGUUGAGUCAGGGCUGAUAAUCGCGCGUUUGCAACCAAGUCUCGUUCUGCGCUUGACAAUUGACUCGAGUACCGUGUACAAUUAUUCCCUUCAUAUCACGGGUAAUUUCUGUACCAGUAUGUCAACAGCUGGAAUGAGGAAAAUGGCAGACAUGCAGAGUCAUCGGAUCGGAAUAUAAUUCGAAGCGGAAACGCAGAUUUGUUGUUCACGUUGCUGAUUUCAGUUUCAAGGGGAAAAAAAAAUAAAUAAAUAAAGAAAUAAAUA